rnacentral:misc_RNA from 1 species
UCAUUACCGAAUUGUCAACAAGAGUUGUUGCUGGUCCUCAAAUGGGGGCAUGUGCACACUCUGUUCACACAUCCACUCACACCCUGUGCACCCUCUGUAGUUCUAUGGUUGGGGGACCUGUCCUCCUGCUGUGGUUCUGCAUCUUUACACACACAUUGUAACAAAGUCUAAUGGAAUGCAUGUCGCGUUUAACGCAAUACAAUACAACUUUCAGCAACGGAUCUCUUGGCUCUCGCAUCGAUGAAGAACGCAGCGAAAUGCGAUAAGUAAUGUGAAUUGCAGAAUUCAGUGAAUCAUCGAAUCUUUGAACGCACCUUGCGCCCUUUGGCCAUUCCGAAGGGCAUGCCUGUUUGAGUAUCAUGAACACCUCAACUCUUCAUGGUUUUCUGUGAUGAGUUUGGACUUUGGGGGUUUUGCUGGCCUAUGGUCAGCUCCUCUAAAAUAAAUCAGCUUGCCAGUGUUUGGUGGGUAUCAUAGGUGUGAUAACUAUCUACGCUUGUGGUUCUUCCACCAGGUAACCUUCAGCAGUGGAGGUUCACUGGAGCUCACAGAUGUCUCUCCUCAGUGAGGACAGCCCUUUGAAUGUUUGAUCUC